AUCCGAUCCAUCUUAUCUAUUUGACCCGUUUUUCCACUUGAGUUGAUCCUAUCCGAGCCAAGAUGGGUAUGAAAUAAAUAUAAAUAUAAAACUUUUAAUUAUAAGAAUCAAGCUGGAUAUGUAUUGACCGACCUGAUCUCUUGCCAUCCCUGUCGAGCCCUUUCAUGACUUCACUAGUUUUGGUGCAACGUGCCUAGUUUUGGACCAUCGGACAAGCUCACGG
rnacentral:lncRNA from 1 species